rnacentral:rRNA from 1 species
GAUGAACGCUGACAGAAUGCUUAACACAUGCUAGUCAACUUGAAGCAGUUUCGGCUGUGGAUGGUGGCGGACGGGUGAGUAACGCGUAAAUAACUUGCCCUUUAGACUGGGACAACUGUUGGAAACGACAGCUAAUACCGGAUAUUAUGAAACCUUGGCAUCAAGGGAUUAUGAAAGCUAUAUGCGCUAGAGGAGGGAUUUGCGUCCUAUGAGCUAGUUGGUGAGGUAAUGGCUCACCAAGGCGACGAUAGGUAGCCGGCCUGAUAGGGUGAACGGCCACAAGGGGACUGAGACCCGGCCCGUACUCCUACGGGAGGCAUCAGUGGGGGAUAUUGGACAAUGGACCAAGAGUCUGAUCCAGCAAUUCUGUGUGUUUGAUGAAGGCCUUCGGGUUGUAAAGAACUUUAAGUAGAGAAGAAGAAAGUGACGGUACCUACAGAAUAAGCGACGGCUAAAUACGUGCAAGAAGCCGCCGUAA